AAGUCGUAACAAGGUUUCCGUAGGUGAACCUGCGGAAGGAUCAUUAGUGAAUGAAAGGGUGAUGCCUUCUGGGCUCCCCGAAUAUCUUCACCACCUCACACUAUCUGUGCACUGUCUGGGGGAGGGAGAGAUGGAGCCUGGCUCCUAUCCACUCUGCCGCCCCCUUAUCAUCAUAAAACCCUUGAAUGUAUGUCGAAUGUAACAAAUAAAUCAAAUACAACUUUCAACAACGGAUCUCUUGGCUCUC
rnacentral:misc_RNA from 1 species